rnacentral:rRNA from 1 species
GAUGAACGCUAGCGGCAGGCUUAAUACAUGCAAGUCGAGGGGCAGCAUGUUCCGUAGCAAUACGGGAUGAUGGCGACCGGCAAACGGGUGCGGAACACGUACGCAACCUACCCAAACUGAUGAAUAGCCCUCCGAAAGGAGGAUUAAUACAUCGUAACUUAAUGAAGUGGCAUCACUUUAUUAAUAUAGCUCCGGCGGUUUUGGAUGGGCGUGCGCCUGANAGGUAGUUGGCGGGGUACGGCCACCACNCUGCGAUCAGUAACUGGUGUGAGAGCACGACCAGUCACACGGGCAC